rnacentral:rRNA from 1 species
GAUGAACGCUGGCGGCGUGCCUAAUACAUGCAAGUAGAACGCUGAAGGAGGAGCUUGCUCUUCUGGAUGAGUUGCGAACGGGUGAGUAACGCGUAGGUAACCUGCCUGGUAGCGGGGGAUAACUAUUGGAAACGAUAGCUAAUACCGCAUGACAACAGUUAUUGCAUGAUAACUGUUUAAAAGGGGCAACUGCUCCACUACCAGAUGGACCUGCGUUGUAUUAGCUAGUUGGUGAGGUAACGGCUCACCAAGGCGACGAUACAUAGCCGACCUGAGAGGGUGAGCGGCCACACUGGGAAUGAGACACGGCCCAGACUCCUACGGGAGGCAGCAGUAGGGAAUCUUCGGCAAUGGACGGAAGUCUGACCGAGCAACGCCGCGUGAGUGAAGAAGGUUUUCGGAUCGUAAAGCUCUGUUGUAAGAGAAGAACGAGUGUGAGAGUGGAAAGUUCACACUGUGACGGUAUCUUACCAGAAAGGGACGGCUAACUACGUG